rnacentral:lncRNA from 1 species
GAAAUUCCAAUAUUGACCCUUCUGGUACAGUAAAAAUACCAGGAUUGCCCUUGUUAAGAUACAGUGAAGUCCCUUCUUUUCUACUAACCACCCAUGCGUUGGCUGUCGUUUUCCAAGAACACAUAGAAAUCCUAGAAAAACACCCAGAUUCAUUCAUACUAAUCAACAGUUUUAACGCCUUAGAAGAAGAUUCGAUUGAAGCAAUACCUGAUCAUAGAAACAUUUACACCGUCGGACCUUUAGUUUCCGGUGACACGGAGGAGCCGUUCGUCAGCGAUACUUUUCAAGAUUCCGAUCGAGAGACAUAUCUCCGAUGGCUAGACACAAAACCUGAGAAAUCGGUGGUUUACGUUUCAUUCGGAAGCUUAUUGAAAUUACAGAAAAAUCAAAAGGAGGAGAUAUUUCAAGGAUUAAUCGAAUUUGGUCACCCGUUUUUGUGGGUCAUACGUCAUAACGGGGAGAACGAUGAAGAAGAAGUGAUGCGUUACACGGCGGAAGGCGGUGGGUUGAUAGUGAGAUGGUGUUCGCAGGUGGAGGUGUUAAACCACGUUGCGAUUGGGUGUUUCGUGACGCAUUGUGGAUGGAACUC